rnacentral:tRNA from 1 species
GCACCCGUAGCUCAACGGAUAGAGCAUCUGACUACGGAUCAGAAGGUUAGGGGUUCGAAUCCCUUCGGGUGCACC